GACAGAGGGUGCAAACGUUGUUCGGAAUUACUGGGCGUAAAGCGCGUGUAGGCGGUUAGGCAAGUCGGAUGUGAAAUCCCGUGGCUCAACUACGGAAGUGCACCCGAAACUGCUUAACUUGAGUCCCGGAGAGGAAGGCGGAAUGCUUGGUGUAGAGGUGAAAAUUCGUAGAUAUCAAGCGGAACACCGGUGGCGAAAGGCGGCCUUCUGGGACGAGGACUGACGUGAGACGCGAAAAGCGUGGGGGAGCAAAACAGG
rnacentral:rRNA from 1 species